AACGCUAGCUACAGGCUUAACACAUGCAAGUCGAGGGGCAGCAUUAGGUAGCAAUACUGAGAUGGCGACCGGCGCACGGGUGCGUAACGCGUAUCCAACCUUCCCGUUACUCUUGGAUAGCCUUCCGAAAGGGAGAUUAAUACAAGAUGGUGUUGAAAUUCCGCAUGUUAUUUCAACUAAAGGUUUAUCGGUAACGGAUGGGGAUGCGUGACAUUAGAUAGAUGGCGGGGUAACGGCCCACCAUGUCCACGAUGUCUAGGGGUUCUGAGAGGAAGGUCCCCCACACUGGAACUGAGACACGGUCCAGACUCCUACGGGAGGCAGCAGUGAGGAAUAUUGGUCAAUGGCCGGAAGGCUGAACCAGCCAAGUAGCGUGAAGGAUGAAGGUUCUAUGGAUUGUAAACUUCUUUUAUACGGGAAUAAAACCUCCCACGUGUGGGAGCUUGUAUGUACCGUAUGAAUAAGCAUCGGCUAACUCCGUGCCAGCAGCCGCGGUAAUACGGAGGAUGCGAGCGUUAUCCGGAUUUAUUGGGUUUAAAGGGAGCGUAGACGGGAGAUUAAGUCAGCUGUGAAAGUUUGAGGCCCAACCUUAAAAUUGCAGUUGAUACUGGUUUCCUUGAGUGCGGUUGAGGUGUGUGGAAUUCGUGGUGUAGCGGUGAAAUGCUUAGAUAUCACGAAGAACUCCGAUUG
rnacentral:rRNA from 1 species